rnacentral:tRNA from 2 species
AGGGGUAUAGCUCAGCUGGUUAGAGCGCACGCCUGAUAAGCGUGAGGUCGGUGGUUCGAGUCCACUUACCCCUA